CUUCCAGGGGUCCCAGGGGCUGUUCCUGGGGGAGUUCCCGGAGGCGUCUUUUUCCCAGGGGCUGGUCUCGGAGGCCUGGGAGGAGGAGCACUGGGCCCUGGAGGCAAGCCACCCAAGCCAGGUGUCGGAGGGCUCGCAGGCGCUGGCCUUGGGGCAGGGCUCGGGGCCUUUCCUGCAGGCGCCUUCCCAGGGGCUCUGGUGCCCGGCGGCGUGGCUGACGCGGCCGCAGCCUAUAAAGCUGCUGCCAAGGCUGGUGAGUGUUACCCUUUGGGACAAGCCAAGAGCUCUGUGGCUUCUGGGGGCUC
rnacentral:lncRNA from 1 species